UUGAGAUGCCGCACGGCCUGAAGCUGAAUGUCAGUGUAUAUCCUUCCAGCAAUUCUUCUGGCUGCAAUCAUCCCCACACCUUCGCUUUAGCUCAGCACGUAGGAACCAGUGGUUAUCCUGAUGUCACGAACAUGUGCUGGGCAGGAACUAUUUUUGAAGAGUUCUGCUACCAUACAGAUUUUGCUUGAUACCCAGUGCAGAGCCCAAUGUGGGGCUUGGACUCACGACCCUGAGAUCAGGACCUAAGCCUGAUGUAGGGCUUGAACUCAUGAGCCUUGACAUCAUGACCUGAGUUAAAGCCGGACGCUCAACUGACUGAGCCACCCAGGUAGGCCUAGAUGUAUUUUUUAAAAAGAAAAAGUACUUCCAAUUUUAACUGGAAGAUGAUAUCAAUUGUAAGAUAUAUUUUGAUUUCUGAGAUAUUCAAAUGUGAAAAAUAUGCAUUUUAGAUGACAUAAAUAUAAUUUUAUGGCCGACAACAGUGCUUAUCAACCACUUACCACUGGUAGGGGAGAGUCUAGACAAUGACACUAUGUCUCAUCUUUGUGUUUUAAAAUGCUAAAUAUUAUGAUAGAAAGUAAUAUUGAAAUUUUAAACUACUAAUGUAAUUAUUGUAUUUGUACUUAAAAUCACAGCAAUAAAAGUGAUUCAUAACA